AUUGUACGCUGGCGGCAUGCCUUACACAUGCAAGUCGAACGGUAACGGGCCUUCGGGUGCCGACGAGUGGCGAACGGGUGAGUAAUACAUCGGAACGUGCCCGAUCGUGGGGGAUAACGAGGCGAAAGCUUUGCUAAUACCGCAUACGAUCUACGGAUGAAAGCAGGGGACCGCAAGGCCUUGCGCGGACGGAGCGGCCGAUGGCAGAUUAGGUAGUUGGUGGGAUAAAAGCUUACCAAGCCGACGAUCUGUAGCUGGUCUGAGAGGAUGAUCAGCCACACUGGGACUGAGACACGGCCCAGACUCCUACGGGAGGCAGCAGUGGGGAAUUUUGGACAAUGGGCGCAAGCCUGAUCCAGCCAUGCCGCGUGCAGGAUGAAGGCCUUCGGGUUGUAAACUGCUUUUGUACGGAACGAAAAGCCUUCUUUUAAUACAGGAGGGUCAUGACGGUACCGUAAGAAUAAGCACCGGCUAACUACGUG
rnacentral:rRNA from 1 species